CCUACGGGUGGCAGCAGUGAGGAAUAUUGGUCAAUGGACGAGAGUCUGAACCAGCCAAGUAGCGUGAAGGAUGACUGCCCUAUGGGUUGUAAACUUCUUUUAUAUGGGAAUAAAAUGUUCCACGUGUGGGAUUUUGUAUGUACCAUAUGAAUAAGGAUCGGCUAACUCCGUGCCAGCAGCCGCGGUAAUACGGAGGAUCCGAGCGUUAUCCGGAUUUAUUGGGUUUAAAGGGAGCGUAGGUGGAUUGUUAAGUCAGUUGUGAAAGUUUGCGGCUCAACCGUAAAAUUGCAGUUGAAACUGGCAGUCUUGAGUACAGUAGAGGUAGGCGGAAUUCGUGGUGUAGCGGUGAAAUGCUUAGAUAUCACGAAGAACUCCGAUUGCGAAGGCAGUUCACUGAACUGCAACUGACACUGAUGCUCGAAAGUGUGGGUAUCAAACAGGAUUAGAUACCCGAGUAGUC
rnacentral:rRNA from 1 species